CGGAUGGAAGAGAGUUCAGCUUAGUGGCGAACGGGUGAGUAACACGUGAGCAACCUGCCUUUCAGUGGGGGACAACAUUUGGAAACGAAUGCUAAUACCGCAUAAGACCACAGUGUCGCAUGGCACAGGGGUCAAAGGAUUUAUCCGCUGAAAGAUGGGCUCGCGUCCGAUUAGCUAGAUGGUGAGGUAACGGCCCACCAUGGCGACGAUCGGUAGCCGGACUGAGAGGUUGAACGGCCACAUUGGGACUGAGACACGGCCCAGACUCCUACGGGAGGCAGCAGUGGGGAAUAUUGCACAAUGGGGGAAACCCUGAUGCAGCGACGCCGCGUGGAGGAAGAAGGUCUUCGGAUUGUAAACUCCUGUCCCAGGGGACGAUAAUGACGGUACCCUGGGAGGGAGCACCGGCUAACUACGUGCCAGCAGCCGCGGUAAAACGUAGGGUGCAAGCGUUGUCCGGAAUUACUGGGUGUAAAGGGAGCGCAGGCGGAUUGGCAAGUUGGGAGUGAAAUCUAUGGGCUCAACCCAUAAAUUGCUUUCAAAACUGUCAGUCUUGAGUGGUGUAGAGGUAGGCGGAAUUCCCGGUGUAGCGGUGGAAUGCGUAGAUAUCGGGAGG
rnacentral:rRNA from 1 species